GAGCAGAGUUCAGUUGAUAUUGAUUCUUUGUCAAUAAUUUUUAUUGAAUUUUAUACUAGAAUAAUUAAAUAGGUAUUAUGUAUCAUCUUUAAUAGUAUUUGUUUACGGUACUGAUUUUCCCGUUUAUUUUCCUGGUUUUUCACAUUUGUUAGGAAAACUCUUGAAAAAAUCGAAAAACGGCCCCUCUAAAGUCACUCCCCAGUUAAAUUUCCUUUUAGAAAUAUUGACACUAUUAUAAAAUGGAGCAAAAUUGCUGUUAGAAAAGUUUAAUUUUCUUCA